rnacentral:rRNA from 1 species
CGGACGGGUGAGUAACGCGUGGAAAACCUGCCGUAUACUGGGGGAGUAACACUUAGAAAUAGGUGCUAAUACCGCAUAAGCGCACAGCUUCGCAUGAAGCGGUGUGAAAAACUCUGGUGGUAUACGAUGGUUCCGCGUCUGAUUAGCUAGUUGGUGGGGUAAUGGCCUACCAAGGCAACGAUCAGUAGCCGGCCUGAGAGGGUGAACGGCCACAUUGGGACUGAGACACGGCCCAAACUCCUACGGAAGGCAGCAG